rnacentral:rRNA from 1 species
AUUGAACGCUGGCGGCAGGCCUAACACAUGCAAGUCGAGCGGAUGAAGGGAGCUUGCUCCUGGAUUCAGCGGCGGACGGGUGAGUAAUGCCUAGGAAUCUGCCUGGUAGUGGGGGAUAACGUCCGGAAACGGGCGCUAAUACCGCAUACGUCCUGAGGGAGAAAGUGGGGGAUCUUCGGACCUCACGCUAUCAGAUGAGCCUAGGUCGGAUUAGCUAGUUGGUGGGGUAAAGGCCUACCAAGGCGACGAUCCGUAACUGGUCUGAGAGGAUGAUCAGUCAUGUGGGAACUGAGACACGGUGCAGACAAGUACGGUAGACAGCAGCGGGGAGUAUUGAACAAUUCUCGAAAGCGUGAUCCAGCGAGGUCGGGUAUGAGAAGAAGGUCUUCAAAUUCUAAAUCUCUUGAAGUUGGAAGGAAAGGAAGCAAGUUAAUACCUCGCUGUUGUGGCGUAACCAACAGAAUAGACACCGACUAACUUCAUG